UCUUGGAAGUGUAGUUUUGGGGGGGUAUAGUGAGAGACCAUUUUGGCAUCCCAGGGAUGAUUUGACCCUAAAUUAAUUAAAAGUACUUUCAACUCUACCCCCAUUUUAGCAGAUUUCCAAUAUACUUUAACGACCUACACCCUCUAAUGAUAAUUUCCCCUCAGAUUUAAUUUACUAGAGGAACUUCCUUCAGAAUGCUAAUAUGGACAGAAGAGAAGAGAACAGCUUUUAAUCUGUUCAUUAGCAGCAGCAGUCAGUGAAUGAGCACCUCAUUUGACCAAAAAGAACAGCAGAUGGAAAAAACUGGAGUGUUGGAUACCUAGAAGCCCAACAGCAGUCUGCUUGACUCAGUGAUGACAUCCAAGCUUUUCCCACGAUAUCAGCCAGAGGAAUAAAGCAGAGGCAAGGAUACACCCACACCCAGGAGGGCUUCUUCAGCCAGCUGAGGAUGGUGACUGCCCCUAACUCAUCCAGGGUUCAGCUGGGGGAAAGGCUGCCUUCUACAAAAAAAUUAUCUUUUCCAACCAAGGAUUGCCUCCUCCCCCACAAGUCUGCAGGAGAUUUUUUUCCCAAGGUGCUCUGAACUCUUGCUGUGAGAGCACAGACUGGGCACCGAGUGCCUGAGGGGGAACAAAGGGAAUCCAGUGUCACUGGAAAUUUUCUUACCUUGUAAGAAAU